AGGGACAAGGGCACUGGAAGUGUACCGUUGCUCUUUCCUCUGAGCUUUCUGUUGGCUAAAGGCCAUCCUCUGGCUUUGGGGAGGUAGGAGCUGUUACAACCUCUGAGCAUUUGUCAAGAGGUUAGAAAACUGCUGCUAAAGUGAACCUAUUAUCAGAGGAUUCUUGAUGCUGAAAUAGUUUUUGGGCAAGUGAUAUGAAGCCGUUAGUACUACGACAGUUUUAGGAAGCACACAGCGAAGAGAGAAGGUGGGAGGAAAAAAAAUGGGGCUCCAGCAAGUAGUAGUAACUCCUCUGUUCCUCAGCAAAAGCUCAAAGUACAACAAAAGGAUGUGCCGACUUGGGGACCAGUUCUACAAAGAAGCAAUUGAGCAUUGUCGCAGCUACAACUCUCGUCUGUGUGCUGAGCGAAGCGUUCGCCUUCCCUUCCUGGAUUCACAAACUGGGGUAGCUCAAAACAACUGCUACAUCUGGAUGGAGAAGAGGCACAGAGGACCAGGCCUGGCCCCAGGUCAGCUGUACACAUACCCAGCACGUUGCUGGCGCAAAAAGAGGCGUUUGCAUCCCCCGGAGGAUUCCAGGCUGAAGCUGCUGGAAAUUAAACCUGAAGUUGAUCUGCCACUGAAGAAAGAUGGGUUCACCUCAGAAAGCACAACUCUGGAAGCCUUGCUGCGUGGAGAGGGAAUAGAGAAAAAAACAGACACUAAAGAGGAGGACACUAUACAAGAAAUCCAGAGGGUUUUAGAAAAUGAUGAAAAUGCAGAUGAAGUGAACGAAGAAGAGGAUUUGGAAGAAGAUGUUCCAAAACGAAAGAACAGGCCUAGGGGACGGGCUCGGGGAUCUGGAGGUGGCAGGAGAAGGAAUGAUGCUGCCUCCCAGGAUGAUCAUGACAAACCCUAUGUUUGUGACAUCUGUGGCAAGCGUUACAAGAACAGGCCUGGGCUGAGCUAUCACUAUGCUCAUACCCACCUCGCCAGUGAAGAGGGUGAUGAAGCCCGUGAGCAGGAGACUCGCUCUUCCCCUGUCCACAGAAAUGAAAACCACAAACCCCAGAAAGGACCAGAUGGGGUCAUCAUUCCCAAUAACUACUGUGACUUCUGCCUCGGAGGCUCCAAUAUGAACAAAAAAAGUGGCCGGCCUGAGGAACUUGUAUCGUGCUCAGACUGUGGGCGCUCUGCUCAUUUGGGAAGAGAAGGCAGGAAGGACGAAGCAGCGCCAGCACGCACUACGGAGGACUUGUUCGGUUCCACGUCAGAAAGCGACACCUCGACCUUUCAUGGCUUUGACGAGGAUGAUGCAGAAGAGCCUCUCUUGAGCCGAGGAGGUGGCUGUGGUGGCAGCUCUCCCUCUGCAGACAAAAAGGGCGGCUGCUAAAAUAACUAAAAAGAGACACAAACUGAGCAAUUUGCUGUCCUUUUUACUACUAGGAUUAUUAUUACCUUUUUCUUUUUUCUAAUUUUAGGUCCUUGGGAUUUUGGGUUUUUUGUUGUUGUUUCUCCUGUGGGAUGUACACUGAAAGCACAAGUGUUUAAAACUCUUGCAAACUACUUUGAAGAGACAGAAGGUUUUAAUUUUCCUGGGGUUUUUUGUUUGUUUGGUGGGUUUGUUUGGGGGUGUUUUUGUUUUUGUUUUUCAUUUUAAUUUGUUUUUCUCCCACCUCCUCCCCUUCUCUUUCUCUCUGGAAAUGUGAAAGGUGGAUUUUUUUUUUUUUUUAAUAGUGAGCAGAGUUGAUUUUCUUGUCUUUUAAUAUAUAUAUCAGCAAACUGCAAAAAAUACAGAUGGGUUGGAGAGCAGAGAGCAAACCCAAAUAGUUUUUUUUUAAUUAUUAUUAUUUAUAUGUUCUAUAUAUUAUUAGGAAAACUACUUUUUAAAUUAAAAAAAUAGAAAAAGCCCACAAAAAAAAAAAGAAAAAAAAAAGUCAAACAAAAAAAUCAAAGGAUGUCUACUUGAUUAUAGAAGUGUUAGAAGUGUUUCUGGAGAACCACUGUGGGUGGACUCUGUAGGAGGACAAAGAAACCCUUGAUGUGAUGGCUUCUACUUUUUGAGAUUUUGCACUUACUGUAGCACGUGGAGUCUGACCCUUCUUGUACACCUGCUAUGUUGUCUUGAACAACCUGACAAUACAAGCAGCACCACUGAAGACUGUGACCUUGGGGAACACACUUCCAUCCUUCCUUUGGACACCUUUACACUCAAUAGAUUUUCUUCCUACCUGCACCCCUUUAUGUCUUCCUCACUCCGUUCUACCUUUUUCUUUUUUUUUUUAACUUUUUUUUUUUUUUCCUUCACUUUUCACUUCAUGGACAGCAAUUUCCAAGCAUAGGGAUGGAAUAUGAAUGGGAAGUCGUAGACAUGAAAGACAAAACAGAUGGAGCAUCAGAAUUAUGGAAGAAAUUAUGUGGAAAAAUACCUCACCUAUACUUUUCUUUCAAUUUUUAAAUUUGAAUUCACAGCAUUUUUUCCUGUGUUGCCCAGUUUUUUUUCUCUCUGUAGUGUCUUGUGAGACACUUUGUUUGCUUUUCAAUAGCUUCUCUUGAAAUAAACCAAAGCAAUACACAGUAAAGUUCCAAGGGCAAUGGAGAAGAGAGUGACUCCCUUCCCAGCGACUUUCCCAGAAAGGAGGAAACAUGCAGCAGGAAUUGAAAGUCAGUGCUGCCCUCGUGGACUCCAGCAUCCUUCAAGCAAGACAUUUCAGAAGAAGACCGAGAGAAACCAGGAUGCUUUGAUACUUCUCCUCUCCUUGCCCUGACCCUUCUGUACCCAUGUUUCAUCUGACACAGGAGCCUGGACUGUGGGAAGUCGGCUGCCAACUGUUUAGAGAAGUUCUGGGGAUGCCCCAAGCUGGUGCAAUACAAAGAAGCUUUUUUAAAGUCUUGAUUUCACUUUCUUUUAAGCGUGUGUAUAAACCCAAGUCAAACUGGAAUUGAUCCACAGUAGAACUGACUGAAAAACAAACAAACUGAAAAAAAAAAAAAAAAGACUUAACUAUUUUAUUUAUUUCGAUAUUUAAGAGAGAAAAGAAGUGCUGAAGUUGCACAGUAUUUUUGUUUGAAAUACGUUUUACUUCAGAUUUUAAAUGCAAUUUUGUGAAGACAUGAAAUUUUAAAAAGCACUUAAUGUAAAAUAAAGACUGAAUAUUUACUUUAAGGAAAAAACUUUUUUUUUUUAAGUAAUGAAAAUAAAGAUCAACUCUGCUCUCUCUCUUACUUUAAAGAAGCCAUUCAUACAUGUGCUGGGUAUCUUUGUUUUUUGCAAAUUGGAUGUGGUAAGUGAAGAUUGUUCUGGUUUACUUUCUUCUUAGUAAUAUUAUCCUGUUAGAUGCUUAAAACUUACACUGCUGUACUCUUAGGCACAAAUCUGAACAAAAGCUGUUGAAAUAGCAAAGACCAGGCACAGUGGCUGGAUUGGUUUGUUACCAGUUUUUGUGUCCCGUUCAAUCCUCCCAGUAGGAUUGAUGUGUCUCUUCUUCACGGUGUAAGAGGUUUGCUCUUGAGCAACUCUAUGAAAUGCUUCUACUGAAAGUGGAGUUUGGAAAAAGGGAAACAACUCUGUGAAUUUUAGUUUGUUUGGGUUUUUUUGUUGUUGUUUUUUUUUUCCUUUGGUAGCUCCACUGAUGAUUGUGAGGUGGUUGUAAGGGAAAUAGGUAAAUGCUCAAGUGCUCUUGGCACGGCGCUUCCGGUGGGAGUCAAGGACAAUGCCAUGUGUAGAAACCUUGUGUUCCUCAUCUCUUUCUUAAGUGGUAGUGGACUUUGGAAAGCAUACAUGUGCACCUGUGUGUCAGCAGUAAAUAACAGGAGGUACUCAGCAGGAGAAGAAUGUUAGUUCCCACAGUUAACACCCAAAAUUGUCUUAUAAGGCAGCAGCAAGGGACCUUCACCUCCCAAAUUUGUUAGAUGUCUUCUCAGUGAACUCAGAUGUUCUGCUUUGUGCAAGCACUGGAGGGUUUUGUUGGCUGCCGAAUCUGCUCACAGUGGAUAGCACAGGGCUGUUCUCUGCCACAUGUGAUACAGCCUAGUAAGGAUGCAGGAUAGCCUUGUGUACUCAGAGAAGGGUGCUGGACUUGGCUCUGAGAUUAGCUUCUCUUUAACAGGAGUGACAGAUGGUGCAUAAUGGUAUAGACCCAGGGUAUAGACCUAAAGUAUAGAUAGAAAAAAUGAUUUUGUUAACAUGGCUUAUGUUGGCUUUUGGACUGAAAAAAGCUAUGCCUACAAAGAGGCAUACUGACUAGAUGAAGUGGCCAGAUGGCCUGACCCCGUGUUAUGUUUCUUGCACACCUAAACUUCAAACUCACCUCAUUCAGAGGUGUCUGUGUCAGUAGCAGCAGACUUUGUCCUCCUCUGCCUUCCCCUUCUCCUGCUCCUUCCAGAUUGACAUAUAGGGGCAAAAAUAACCGUAUGAGAUGUGUCUGGUAGGCCUGUUGAAUUAAAUGACACAAUUUAUAUCCUCGUUGAUCUCUUUGGCAGGAUAAUUUGGUUUUGUUCAUUUUGCUGGUUUCUAAACUCGCAAUGGUGAACUGCCUCUAGAGGAAAGAAGAAAUCAAAUUUUAUUUAAACGGAAUAUAACAAGACGCACAACUGAGAUGAAGGUUUGCAAACUGUAGGGUCUGUAUUCAGUUUGUGUAAUAUUCCUUCCAAAUAAAAGUUCUGCUUCCAACAUCCCUAUUGUAUAUUCCUCUGUAAAUAUUACCUUAUCAAACCAAUUCCACAAAGUCUUUUUUAGUGCAAAUAAUCUUCUUUUAAAAAGGCAUUGUUGAAUAACAUACUUGUACAUAUACUUUUCUAAGCUCUCUAUUGUUUAUAAUGCUCUAUUUGAAGCAUAAAAUAAAGCUUCCUCCUCUAUUGA